rnacentral:misc_RNA from 1 species
GAUGAAGAACGUAGCGAAAUGCGAUAAGUAAUGUGAAUUGCAGAAUUCAGUGAAUCAUCGAAUCUUUGAACGCACAUUGCGCCCGCCAGUAUUCUGGCGGGCAUGCCUGUUCGAGCGUCAUUUCAACCCUCAGGCCCCCAGUGCCUGGUGUUGGGGAUCGGCCCAGCCUUCCUGUAAGGCCGCCGGCCCCGAAAUCUAGUGGCGGUCUCGCUGUAGUCCUCCUCUGCGUAGUAGCACAACCUCGCAGUUGGAACGCGGCGGUGGCUAUGCCGUUAAACACCCCACUUCUGAAAGUUGACCUCGGAUCAGGUAGGAAUACCCGCUGAACUUAAGCAUAUCAAUAAGCGGAGGA